CUAAUGAAGUUUAGACACGUUUGUGAACGUUUGUGGCUAUUAUUAAGCUUUAAUUACUGUAUGCCUGCCUAUGAUAUAAAGGCAUGAUGUGAAGGCAGUACACACCGGCGCUCCAACUGACUCCGACAGUUGAACUUGAGGACAUGUAGCAGCUUGUAGGGGGAUUCCUCGUGGCUGCAGCGACUCGUGGAACUCUCCUGGAAGUACAGGGAGUCUAGCUGGCAGAUAGCACCAGGCACCUUGGUGAAGUACUCCACCAGGAAGGACUUAUGGACCUCUAUCUCCUCCGGGAGGAAGGCUUGCUGUACCUUGCUCAUCAUUUCGGAGACUCUGACUUGUACCGAAGGGCUCAGCGGAUGGGAAGCCUACGACUGUCGGAGAUUCAGAUCACGAUACAGGGAUAAGAACCCACAGACAUACAGAAGGGUACGUUGUAAUGGUGGGCACCAAUAUCUAAAAUUCCCACAGACAUACACACAUAUAAAUGAAUGCUACACACAAAUCACAACUGCUGCUGCCAGACUCCUAUUAUGAUUGCCAAAUACUGCACAAUUUAAACACUUGCCCCCAAAUCCCCCCUUCCCCAAAACACAUGUAAAUAUUGGACUAUAAAUUGUACCUUACUGUAUUAUUCUUAUGGUGAAAUGUUUAUUAUAUUCUACUGAGCCAUUUACUUUAUGUUCGUAUUCUUAUCUUUUAUUAUUUCUUAUUGUUGUUGCAUUGUCAAGAAGGAAGCUGCAAGUAAGCAUUUCAUUGGCUGGUGUAUACCACGUGUAUCCUGUACGACUAAUAAAACUUGAAAAUUAUAUCAGUAUCGCCUGAUACUGUUUUGACUUCAAUAUUGUUUGAUUUGGGUUUGAUAUCGAUAUGAGCAAGACCUAUUGUGAUAUUGGUUUAUCCUUCCUGUUAACCUAUGCUAUUAUGUAAAAAAAAGCAUACAUGACUGUUCCUGCAUGCACAAAAUCCUCUUGCAGAUGUUCACAUGCUCUCAACUUAAUAUACUUAACGUGAGCAUUUUUCUCCAAUUUAAAAAAUCCUUGAACAUGUGGUA